rnacentral:rRNA from 1 species
UACGUAGGGACCAAGCGUUGUUCGGAUUUACUGGGCGUAAAGGGCGCGUAGGCGGCAAUUCAAGUCAGCUGUGAAAUCUCCGAGCUUAACUCGGAACGGUCAGCUGAUACUGUUUUGCUAGAGUGCAGAAAGGGCAACCGGAAUUCUUGGUGUAGCGGUGAAAUGCGUAGAUAUGUGGAGGAACACCGAUGGCGAAGGCAGCCCCCUGGGUUAACACUGACGCUCAUGCACGAAAGCGUGGGGAGCAAACAGG